ACCAGCACAUCCUCACCACUUAAUCUUUGCCUGAUUUUCCUUUGAGUUCAUUUAUUUGUGAUAAUCCCAUAAACCUGUUGGGAAUAUAAAUCACUUGUGAGUGUCAGUGGUUGUUUGGUAAAUGAGUGCCCAGGUGCUAAUGAACCUUCCACUCCCACAUCCACCAUCCUGGCUCCCUCCUGGGGGGAAAUAAAAGGGUUUAGUGUGGAGCUGUGAAUCCCAGGAGGUUGAAGACUUUCCCUUUUCUAUCCUGUUCCAUGUAGGGGUUGUGGAUAUUCCCCUUCACUUGUGGGCUGUGCUCUUGGGAAGAUGAAAAAUCUGGAGGAAUAUUUGAUGUACUGGAGCAGAGUGGGGGGAGAGUUGUGUGUGGAGCUGAAUUAUUGAAACUUUUUGGGCAUUCUGCAUGAUCUGUGUCCAUCAGGGCUUUGUUUUCCUCGGGAUCUUUGUUUGGGGCUCUUUUUGGAGGAGAAAAUUUGUUGCUGUUUUUACAGCCUUUUAAACUGCAGUGCCUUGGGGACAAUGUGGCAUCUCACCACUUUUCCUGGGGCUUUUCUUUUCUUUGCUGAGUGAGGAGCUGAGGAGCUUCCCCUGGAGAAGGAAAACUGCAGGACCCUGAGGAGCUGGGACUAAAACCAGCCCCAGCAGAAGAGCUGGGACUUGCAGGGGUUUUCUGUGUCCCACCACUGCUGCUCCUCCUUCAGGCAGGUAAAAAACUUCAGGAAAAGCGUGGAUUUCUCCUGACCAUGUGUGGGACCAGGGCGUGGUGUCCUGGGGGCAGCCAAUAAAUGAGAACUGAUCUCCACCCUGAGGUGAAAUCCAUGAAUUAAAUAUCCCAGACCUCAUUAGUAAGGAGGCAGAAUGUGCUCACACCUCUGCUGAGUCUCCCUCGGACCACCAGGAGCAAGGUGCCCAUCAGCACAAUUGUGGGGAUCAAAAUCCAGCCUGGAGACUGCAAAAUGUAGGGAAGAGCAUUACAUUAGGGAAAAAAUAAAAGCCUGUCCAUAAGCAUCGGAUCAAAUGGUGCUCACAUGAAAAAGUGGAUCAAUAAUAUCAAUAGCCAUUACCAGAGGAGCAGCAGGAAUUCUGUUAUCAUAGAACUUUGGAAAAACGUUUUGUCUUUGGCGUUUGGCUUAUUUGUAGGUAAUAUAUAAUGAACCUGGUAGUCUUAGAGGUCUUUUCCAGCCUUAAUGAUUUUAUAAGGCAGCUUUCUUUGAAAAAUGGAGCGUAUUUUAAAAUUAUCCUCCCUGUUGACCUUCCUCAAAUUCUGUCCCAGCUCUGUUGGGUUUUUUCCUGGUUCCAUUAUUAAAUAAAUAUAGAUUCUACACACAAAACCAGUUUCCAGGAAGCUGUUGAACUCCCCACUGCAAGGCUUUUUCCCCCUCCAAAAUGCAAACAUUUUGAUUUUGGCUUAAGGAAAGU